rnacentral:rRNA from 1 species
AGUCUAUAAUGCAGUCGAGCGGACAGAUGGGAGCUUGCUCCCUGAAGUCAGCGGCGGACGGGUGAGUAACACGUGGGCAACCUGCCUGUAAGACUGGGAUAACUCCGGGAAACCGGGGCUAAUACCGGAUAAUUCUUUCCCUCACUUGAGGGGAAGCUGAAAGAUGGUUUCUGCUAUCACUUACACAUGGGCCCGCGGCGCAUUAGCUAGUUGGUGAGGUAACGGCUCACCAAGGCGACGAUGCGUAGCCGACCUGAGAGGGUGAUUGGCCACACUGGGACUGAGACACGGCCCAGACUCCUACGGGAGGCAGCAGUAGGGAAUCUUCCGCAAUGGACGAACGUCUGACGGAGCAACGCCGCGUGAGUGAUGAAGGUUUUCGGAUC